CUGCCUUCCACACCCAAAGCUUCGUCCCCUCCCUCCUAAAACUCUGUGAAUGCGCUUGCCCAGAGCCCCACCCUCUCCAGACUCUGAGAAUGGGGCGGGGAAAAGCCUACGUCAGCGGGACCGGAAAAGCGCCUGCAGGAAGGACAGACGCUAAACUAUUUGGAACGAGAGUGUGCAUGCGCGCAGAUGACUCACCUCUAAGUUUUAACAAUCACACACCGGAGAGGGCGCUGUGCUGUCAGCCGUAGCUAAGCGGCUCUUGCCAGCACCGCGUGGACUCUUGGGUGUUGUAGUUUCCUCCAUCCUCAACGUCCUUAUUCUAGGAAGCAGUAACGCUCACUUCUCAGCCCAGGAGAGGUGUGAGCAAACGAAGCUCAGUCUGUUCUGUGAGUUAUUGCCCAAGUCAGAGGCAGAAAUAGUAUCUAAGGGGGAGAACUAAAUAGCAGGCCCCGCUGAACAAGACUUCUCCCGGGGUCACACUGCCACCGGUUGGAAUGAGGUAUGAGGGCAGAGAAAGAAGAGACGUUCAUACAAGCUUCUUUGAAGGAAUUUAGAGAGCACGGUAUCAACCUUCUCGUGAUGUUAUGACUAAAGGACUCACAGUUGAACCUAUGUCUUUUUGUCCAGUCUUGUUUCCAAUCCCUAGCAAUUCAACAUCUUUGCUUUUCCAGUGACAAUAGACAGUUAAUACAAUCACAAUAGAAUAUAGGAUGACUGCAAUAAGGAGGAUAAAUGUUGACUGGGCUAUGGGAAAAUCGGAACUCCUUUAUACACUUCAGCAGAUCCUGUUCUCAUUGCAUGGACCGCUUUCCAUCCUCUGUCAGCUCAAAGCAACAACACUGCAGAGUCAAAUGGUUUCCGUGAGAAGACAAUCUAAUUGCUUGUGUAAACAAUGAAGAGAAGACCCACAGCCAUUUCAUCAAAGUGUGGACAAGUCCCUGGCUCCAUUUCUUUGCAAUUAAUCCCCUUAGCUCU